AAGGAUCAUUACCGAGUUAGGGCCUGCCUCUUCGGCGCCCGACCUCCCAACCCUGUGUCUACUAUACCUAAUUGUUGCUUCGGUGGGCCGGUCUGAAAGAACACCGCUGGGCCUCUGUGCCUGGAGAGCGCCCGCCGAUGGCCCAAUCUCAAACUCUUAGCACUAAACCAUGUCGUCUAAAGCAAAAACUAUUUGAUUUAAUCAAAAUUAAAACUUUCAACAACGGAUCUCUUGGUUCUGGCAUCGAUGAAGAACGCAGCGAAAUGCGAUAAGUAAUGCGAAUUGCAGAAUUUCCGUGAGUCAUCGAAUCUUUGAACGCACAUUGCGCCCUCUGGUAUUCCGGAGGGCACGCCUGUUCGAGCGUCAUUAUCACCCCUCAAGCCCCCGGCUUGGUGUUGGACCCCGUGAGCCGCGGCCCCCUGGGCGGCGGCUGGUCCCAAAGGUAACGACGGCGUCCGUGGGACCCCUCGGUGCAACGAGCUCUCUGGAGCACGCAGCGAGUCGAAAGGACCCCCGGGGCCGGUCGACCCUCCAUCUUUCUCGAAGAUUGACCUCGGAUCAGGUAGGGAUACCCGCUGAACUUAA
rnacentral:rRNA from 1 species